UUUGCAAGAGGUAUCUUUGAGAACUUUGAUUUAUAAAUUGGCAUUUUAAAUUACAAAAAAAAACCCAACUAAUAAAAGUGAAUACUGCCAAAGGUUAGUGAUUUCCAAGUACACUGAAUAAUUGUGCCUGCUUUUAUUUUUGUAAUACAAGUAACACAUCAUGUGAAGUACAACUUACACAAUUGCUGCCAUUGUCCUUUGACCCAGCAUAUCUGAUUAUUAGAUAGAAUGCAGGACAGUCCAGAGCUGCCAUCUAGAAUCUGCCCCCAUAAUCCUGGACAGCAAAGCCUGCACUUCUUGGGUCCUAAAGAUGCCAAAAUAAGCCCAGAAAGGAAAAAAAAAGUUUUAAAUAGAGAAAUGGUGGCAUGAGACUAAAGGGUGGCCAGAUUGAAAAAAAAAUGCAAAAGCAGUAUCCUAAAAGUGC